rnacentral:rRNA from 2 species
GUCUCUACGGAGCAGCAGUGAGAACUGUCCGCAUGGCGAAGCGUGACGAGCAAUACCGCGUGAGGAGGAAGGCUCUUGGGUUGUAAACCUCUUUCUCAGGGAAGAAUUCAAUGACGGUACCUGAGGAAUAAGCAUCGGCUAACUCCGUGCCAGCAGCCGCGGUAAUACGGAGGAUGCAAGCGUUAUCCGGAAUGAUUGGGCGUAAAGCGUCCGCAGGUGGCAUUGCAAGUCUGCUGUCAAAGGUCAGGGCUUAACCCUGAAAAGGCAGUGGAAACUGAAAUGCUGGAGUGCGGUAGGGGUAGAGGGAAUUCCCGGUGUAGCGGUGAAAUGCGUAGAGAUCGGGAAGAACACCAGUGGCGAAGGCGCUCUACUAGGCCGCAACUGACACUCAUGGACGAAAGCUAGGGGAGCGAAUGGGAUUAGAUACCCCAGUAGUCCUAGCUGUAAACGAUGGAUAGCUAGGCGUUGAGAGUAUCGACCCUCUCAGUGUCGUAGCUAACGCGUAAGUAGCCGCAUGGGAUACG